CCUGGUCACAAUGUUCAGAUCAAAAUCGUUUCCGUAAACCAUGAAGUACAUAUUAAUCCUCGAUGUAUCAGCAGUUGCUGUCGCCUUGGUGUGGAGCGAAUCAUGACACUUAACACAACACUGCACUGCAUCAACCAAGAGUGCACCAACACGCAUGCAUCAUGUAUUCAGGUUACUUCCGGUCAAGUCUUUUGUUCGUAUGAAGGCCACUGGCCCAUAUACAGCCCUGGUUGAUGCCGAGGGAUGCCAAGGCCAUGAUACCAGCACCUGCAGGCAUGAAAGCUGCGACGCCCUCUCGACCUUGACUUGUGUGAGGGGAACCUGCACGUGCCUGGUGUCCAGCUGUGGAACCCAUCCAGGAGGUAUUACGCCAAGUAGAUUUGGAGAGGUUCCCAUCCACGAUGUCCUGUACUGCAUUUGCAUCAAGGGACGCGAAGCGGUCACUGGACGCUUGAACUUUGGGCUCUAAGGAAACGCUGGCUGUAUUUCCUAGUUCAGGGGCCAUCUCAGAACGGUUUUCAGCUUCAACAGCUGUUAUACGGACGGUGGCGAUCCCAUGGUGUCGUAUGCUGUGUCGUAAGCGGUGACUAUGUGGAUUGGGUGGUCACGAUGCCCCUGUAUCCUGGCGGCUUGGGACGUUGUUCAUAAUAUUAAUCAUUGGUUUUGUCCAUCCAUCUUUGGAAUCGAAACGUGAUUUUCCGUGUGCCGAGAGAACGCUAAUACUACUCUUAAAAAAACGUACACGGUGACCCAACGAUGUGCGUCGGUGAUACAUUACAGUGCACAUGUUAUAUAACAUGAGGUCAUAGCAUAGUCCAUCUGCUCAGGUGUCAACGACUGAUACAAUCAAGGAUUAUUCACUAAUGUGAAUCACACACCACACACAACAUACCCUUUACACGAGCAAACUUAAAAUAUUUUUUUAUCUUUUUCUUUAAAUACCACAAUCUGAUCUGGUAUGAUAAGACGUCAGAGGGUCGCCAGGGACAUGCCACGGUGACGUCAGCUGACAUAGCGGAGUUUGAUCUCAACAGUGAGUGAGUGAGUGAGUUGGGUUUAACGCUGCUUUUAACAGUAUUCCAGUUAUAUCGCGGUGUGUCAGCUUAAUGUCGGAGGAAAGCCCGAAGUGAUAUGCAGGUCUCAGACGUUUACCACUUCGGUGAAACCCACGAGCACGGGUAUGGUGCUGACAAACCUAGACACAUAAUCGGGGCGAACCGGGAUUCGAAUCCAAAAUUGGAUUUUUUGGGUUGCCCCAUAUCUUUAACUAUUUGGAAUGUCAUAAUGAUUAAGGAAUUGUCCUCUGUCGCUUUUAUUUACAAUAUUUUCGAAACGCCAGGGUUUAUGAAACAAUCUUUUGUAUCCCAGCAAUGUUGUCACUAAGGUUUACAGUCCCGUGAAGAUUCCGGGGUCUUCAGCAAACCAUGCUUGCCGUAAAAAGGUGACUAUGCUUGUCGUAAAAGGCGACUACCGGGAUCGGAUGGUUAGGCUCGCUGACUUGAUUCAGGUCAUCGAU